UAUCUCAUAGCUAUGCCAUGGGAUUCCUUUGUUAUUCCUUUUAUUUUUUCCUCAGGGAGAAUAUCAUCCCUCACCUGUUUUCUAUUUCAGCCUGCUGUAACACUACCAAGAGCUGUUAAUGGCAGACCAUCAGAAAUCUCAGACUUCAAAUGCAGUGUUGCAGAUUUGCCUUCUAACUGUUGGUGCACAGAUGAAGAAGAACACAUUCAAUUUUGGUUAUAAUGCAUGUUUGAUGAACUUCAAGAUCCUUGGAACACUUUAUUCACAGUCUUAUUUUUAUUAACUACAACUGUAAUAUAAGCAUGUUCUUGUUACAA